GACGAACGCUGGCGGCGUGCUUAACACAUGCAAGUCGAACGGAAAGGCUCCAGCUUGCUGGAGUACUCGAGUGGCGAACGGGUGAGUAACACGUGGGUAAUCUGCCCUGCACUCUGGGAUAAGCCUGGGAAACUGGGUCUAAUACUGGAUAUGACCUUUCUCCUUAUGGGGUUUGGUGGAAAGUUUUUCGGUGUAGGAUGAGCCCGCGGCCUAUCAGCUUGUUGGUGGGGUGAUGGCCUACCAAGGCGACGACGGGUAGCCGGCCUGAGAGGGUGAUCGGCCACAUUGGGACUGAGAUACGACCCAGACUCCUACGGGAGGCAGCAGUGGGGAAUAUUGCACAAUGGGCGGAAGCCUGAUGCAGCGACGCCGCGUGAGGGAUGACGGCCUUCGGGUUGUAAACCUCUUUCAGCAGGGACGAAGCGUAAGUGACGGUACCUGCAGAAGAAGCACCGGCUAACUAUGUG
rnacentral:rRNA from 1 species